rnacentral:rRNA from 1 species
GUCUGGGAAACUGCCUGAUGGAGGGGGAUAACUACUGGAAACGGUAGCUAAUACCGCAUAACGUCGCAAGACCAAAGAGGGGGACCUUCGGGCCUCUUGCCAUCGGAUGUGCCCAGAUGGGAUUAGCUAGUAGGUGGGGUAACGGCUCACCUAGGCGACGAUCCCUAGCUGGUCUGAGAGGAUGACCAGCCACACUGGAACUGAGACACGGUCCAGACUCCUACGGGAGGCAGCAGUGGGGAAUAUUGCACAAUGGGCGCAAGCCUGAUGCAGCCAUGCCGCGUGUAUGAAGAAGGCCUUCGGGUUGUAAAGUACUUUCAGCGGGGAGGAAGGGAGUAAAGUUAAUACCUUUGCUCAUUGACGUUACCCGCAGAAGAAGCACCGGCUAACUCCGUGCCAGCAGCCGCGGUAAUACGGAGGGUGCAAGCGUUAAUCGGAAUUACUGGGCGUAAAGCGCACGCAGGCG